AGAUUAAGUUAUUAAGGGCGCACGGUGGAUGCCUUGGCACUAGAAGCCGAAGAAGGACGUUACUAACGACGAUAUGCUUUGGGUAGCUGUAAGUAAGCGUUGAUCCAGAGAUUUCCGAAUGGGGGAACCCAACAUGAGUUAUGUCAUGUUAUCGACAUGUGAAUUCAUAGCAUGUCAGAAGGCAGACCCGGAGAACUGAAACAUCUUAGUACCCGGAGGAAGAGAAAGAAAAAUCGAUUCCCUGAGUAGCGGCGAGCGAAACGGGAAGAGCCCAAACCAACAAGCUUGCUUGUUGGGGUUGUAGGACACUCUAUACGGAGUUACAAAAGAACAUGUUAGACGAAUCAUCUGGAAAGAUGAAUCAAAGAAGGUAAUAAUCCUGUAGUCGAAAACAUAUUCUCUCUUGAGUGGAUCCUGAGUACGACGGAGCACGUGAAAUUCCGUCGGAAUCUAGGAGGACCAUCUCCUAAGGCUAAAUACUCUCUAGUGACCGAUAGUGAACCAGUACCGUGAGGGAAAGGUGAAAAGUACCCCGGAAGGGGAGUGAAAGAGAACUUGAAACCGUGUGCUUACAAGUAGUCAGAGCCCGUUUAUGGGUGAUGGCGUGCCUUUUGUAGAAUGAACCGGCGAGUUACGAUCUGAUGCAAGGUUAAGCAGCGAAUGUGGAGCCGUAGCGAAAGCGAGUCUGAAUAGGGCGUUGAGUAUUUGGUCGUAGACCCGAAACCAGGUGAUCUACCCUUGGUCAGGUUGAAGUUCAGGUAACACUGAAUGGAGGACCGAACCGACUUACGUUGAAAAGUGAGCGGAUGAACUGAGGGUAGCGGAGAAAUUCCAAUCGAACUUGGAGAUAGCUGGUUCUCUCCGAAAUAGCUUUAGGGCUAGCCUCAAGUGAUGAUUAUUGGAGGUAGAGCACUGUUUGGACGAGGGGCCCCUCUCGGGUUACCGAAUUCAGACAAACUCCGAAUGCCAAUCAAUUUAACUUGGGAGUCAGAACAUGGGUGAUAAGGUCCGUGUUCGAAAGGGAAACAGCCCAGACCACCAGCUAAGGUCCCAAAAUAUAUGUUAAGUGGAAAAGGAUGUGGCGUUGCCCAGACAACUAGGAUGUUGGCUUAGAAGCAGCCAUCAUUUAAAGAGUGCGUAAUAGCUCACUAGUCGAGUGACACUGCGCCGAAAAUGUACCGGGGCUAAACAUAUUACCGAAGCUGUGGAUUGUCCUUCGGACAAUGGUAGGAGAGCGUUCUAAGGGCGUUGAAGCAUGAUCGCAAGGACAUGUGGAGCGCUUAGAAGUGAGAAUGCCGGUGUGAGUAGCGAAAGACGGGUGAGAAUCCCGUCCACCGAUUGACUAAGGUUUCCAGAGGAAGGCUCGUCCGCUCUGGGUUAGUCGGGUCCUAAGCUGAGGCCGACAGGCGUAGGCGAUGGAUAACAGGUUGAUAUUCCUGUACCACCUAGUAUCGUUUUAAUCGAUGGGGGGACGCAGUAGGAUAGGCGAAGCGUGCUGUUGGAGUGCACGUCCAAGCAGUAAGGCUGAGUGUUAGGCAAAUCCGGCACUCGUUAGGCUGAGCUGUGAUGGGGAGAGGAAAUUGUUUCCUCGAGUCGUUGAUUUCACACUGCCGAGAAAAGCCUCUAGAUAGAUAACAGGUGCCCGUACCGCAAACCGACACAGGUAGUCAAGAUGAGAAUUCUAAGGUGAGCGAGCGAACUCUCGUUAAGGAACUCGGCAAAAUGACCCCGUAACUUCGGGAGAAGGGGUGCUCUUUAGGGUUCACGCCCAGAAGAGCCGCAGUGAAUAGGCCCAAGCGACUGUUUAUCAAAAACACAGGUCUCUGCUAAACCGUAAGGUGAUGUAUAGGGGCUGACGCCUGCCCGGUGCUGGAAGGUUAAGAGGAGUGGUUAGCUUCUGCGAAGCCACAAAUCGAAGCCCCAGUAAACGGCGGCCGUAACUAUAACGGUCCUAAGGUAGCGAAAUUCCUUGUCGGGUAAGUUCCGACCCGCACGAAAGGCGUAACGAUUUGGGCACUGUCUCAACGAGAGACUCGGUGAAAUCAUAGUACCUGUGAAGAUGCAGGUUACCCGCGACAGGACGGAAAGACCCCGUGGAGCUUUACUGUAGCCUGAUAUUGAAAUUCGGCACAGCUUGUACAGGAUAGGUAGGAGCCAUUGAAACGUGAGCGCUAGCUUACGUGGAGGCGUUGGUGGGAUACUACCCUAGCUGUGUUGGCUUUCUAACCCGCACCACUUAUCGUGGUGGGAGACAGUGUCAGGCGGGCAGUUUGACUGGGGCGGUCGCCUCCUAAAAGGUAACGGAGGCGCUCAAAGGUUCCCUCAGAAUGGUUGGAAAUCAUUCACAGAGUGUAAAGGCAUAAGGGAGCUUGACUGCGAGACCUACAAGUCGAGCAGGGUCGAAAGACGGACUUAGUGAUCCGGUGGUUCCGCAUGGAAGGGCCAUCGCUCAACGGAUAAAAGCUACCCCGGGGAUAACAGGCUUAUCUCCCCCAAGAGUUCACAUCGACGGGGAGGUUUGGCACCUCGAUGUCGGCUCAUCGCAUCCUGGGGCUGUAGUCGGUCCCAAGGGUUGGGCUGUUCGCCCAUUAAAGCGGUACGCGAGCUGGGUUCAGAACGUCGUGAGACAGUUCGGUCCCUAUCCGUCGUGGGCGUAGGAAAUUUGAGAGGAGCUGUCCUUAGUACGAGAGGACCGGGAUGGACAUACCUCUGGUGUACCAGUUGUCGUGCCAACGGCAUAGCUGGGUAGCUAUGUAUGGACGGGAUAAGUGCUGAAAGCAUCUAAGCAUGAAGCCCCCCUCAAGAUGAGAUUUCCCAACUUCGGUUAUAAGAUCCCUCGAAGAUGACGAGGUUAAUAGGUUCGAGGUGGAAGCGUGGUGACACGUGGAGCUGACGAAUACUAAUCGAUCGAAGACUUAAUCAAU
rnacentral:rRNA from 1 species